rnacentral:rRNA from 1 species
CCUACGGGUGGCAGCAGUGGGGGCUAUUGCACAAUGGGGGAAACCCUGAUGCAGUGACGCCGCGUGGGUGAAGAAGCGCCUCGGCGCGUAAAGCCCUGUCAGCAGGGAAGAAAAUGACGGUACCUGAAGAAGCAGCCCCGGCUAACUACGUGCCAGCAGCCGCGGUAAUACGUAGGGGGCAAGCGUUAUCCGGAUUUACUGGGUGUAAAGGGGGCGCAGACGGCGAUGCAAGCCAGGAGUGAAAGCCCGGGGCCCAACCCCGGGACUGCUCUUGGAACUGCGUGGCUAGAGUGCAGGAGGGGCAGGCGGAAUUCGUGGUGUAGCGGUGAAAUGCGUAGAUAUCAGGAGGAACACCGGUGGCGAAGGCGGCCUGCUGGACUGCAACUGACGUUGAGGCCCGAAAGCGUGGGGAGCAAACAGGAUUAGAUACCCUAGUAGUC